GUCAGUUCAUUGUAAAACAAUAAACAGAGCGGACCUUAUAUAACUUGAUAUUAGACGAAAAACCAUCAAAUUCUUCGAGAAUUUCCAUAUUUUUCGGAUAAUAAAAACCGUACAUCAAAAUGUCUCGUCCAAAUCCACUUUCGGGUGAUAUUUGGGUGCGUGGUGUCAUGGAGCAUCCAGCAUCCAAAAAACCCUUCAAGGCAAACGCACUGACCUACGCAUGCUUCGGUUUCAUGGCCGUGUACUUUGCCUAUCAACUUCCAAGAAUCCACUAUCACUGCAGAAAGCCAGAUCGUGUACCAUCAGAUGCUUUGAAAUAUGAUCGUAAAACCAAAAAAUACGUCGAAUGAGUGCUAUGAUUAAAUUAGAUGUUGAAUGAUUGUAAUGGCUUUCCCAUGUGAAAGACACUCAAUAAAACUGUACUAAAAUCACUCCAGUUAGUUAAAUUUGGUUCUCUCUCUUUUUAAGUAGAAAAUCUUUCGACCAUUUUAUGGUGGGAGAUUUAUGUAUUAUGGCAGGACAUCGAAUCUCAUCAUAAUCAUCAGUUUUCUAUAGAUAUUCAUAAAUCAUUUUAACAAAAUCAAUGAAAAAGUUCAGUGUUCGUUGAGUUUACAACAACGUCAACAUUUUGACAGCUGUCAAUUGGACGAGUCCAAUCAAAAUACUUCUUGGUUGUGGUUUAUUUCUCUUCGAAUAAAUAGCUGAAAAUAAAUCUAUUGUCAAGUAUUUUGAACGUAUUUCCCAAGUGCAUACAAGUCAAGUGAUGGCAGAGAAUAUACCAAAAAAAACGGCAAAUGCAGACAAUCCACUGGCACGUGAAUUGAUGGAGGUGCGUUUUAAAAUGCGUGACCGAUUGAUGAUUGAAGGGUAUAAACCAUUCUACAAAAAUCAAAGCAACCGAUAUACAUUGAUUGGUGGAUUCUGUUUAUGGCUCGGAUAUAUGAUAUACAACACAGUGAAAGGAACUACAAUGCAUAGUUCAUUUCAUGAUUGAAUAAACGCCCGUCUCUAGAUAAUUAUCUAAAAAAUGUUGUGAAUAAUAAUGAAUAAUUGUAGGAAUAAAUUUGUUGAAUAAAAACCAUAGAUUUCAUCUAAAAAAAUAAA